UACGUAGGGUGCAAGCGUUGUCCGGAAUUAUUGGGCGUAAAGAGCUCGUAGGCGGUUUGUCGCGUCUGCUGUGAAACCUAAGGCUCAACCUUGGGCUUGCAGUGGGUACGGGCAGACUAGAGUGCGGUAGGGGUGACUGGAAUUCCUGGUGUAGCGGUGGAAGUGCGCAGAUAUCGAGGAGGGAACACCUGGCGGCGAAGGCGGGUUGCGUGGGCU
rnacentral:rRNA from 1 species